UUGAAAGGGAAACGAUUGAAGUCAGUCGUACCAGCGGAAAUCAACCUUUCGAGUGGGGGUUUUGGAGUUUUUUGAAGAGUGUCAAAACCUUUGAGAUUUCAAAAAUUUCGCUCUUUUGGUGUACUUUCUCGUGGGUAGGUUAACAUCGAUUUUGAUCAUCAUAAAAAGAUUGGAGGAAUGUAGCUUCGAUCUUGUAUUGAAGUGUUAUAGCCUUUGGUAAAUGUGAUGAUUAGGAUCGAGGAUUGCAACGAAUACCCUUUUGGGCUAUCCGCCUGAUCUCUGAUACGUGGCCUUGGUAUCGAAAGCUUGCUUAUGGUAUUAAGGUAUUACGGUCAAAAGGUUAGAACGGAUUACAUUCGUUAAGGAUGUUGACGUA
rnacentral:rRNA from 1 species